GCCGGAGUGGCGGAAUUGGCAGACGCGCACGACUCAAAAUCGUGUUCCNNUGUGGGUUCGAUUCCCACCUUCGGCACCU
rnacentral:tRNA from 1 species